UACGGGGGGGGCAAGCGUUGUUCGGAAUUACUGGGCGUAAAGGGCUCGUAGGUGGCCAACUAAGUCAUACGUGAAAUCCCUCGGCUUAACCGGGGAACUGCGUCUGAUACUGGAUGGCUUGAGUUUGGGAGAGGGAUGCAGAAUUCCAGGUGUAGCGGUGAAAUGCGUAGAUAUCUGGAGGAAUACCGGUGGCGAAGGCGGCAUCCUGGACCGGCAUUGACGCUGAGGAGCGAAAGCCAGGGGAGCAAACGGG
rnacentral:rRNA from 1 species